UACGUAGGGUGCGAGCGUUAAUCGGAUUUACUGGGCGUAAAGCGUGCGCAGGCGGUUUUGUAAGUCAGAUGUGAAAUCCCCGGGCUUAACCUGGGAAUGGCAUUUGGGACUGCAAGGCUUGAGUGCGGCAGAGGAGACUGGAAUUCCUGGUGUAGCAGUGAAAUGCGUAGAUAUCAGGAGGAACACCGAUGGCGAAGGCAGGUCUCUGGGCUGACACUGACGCUCAUGCACGAAAGCGUGGGGAGCAAACAGG
rnacentral:rRNA from 1 species